GGGUGCGAUCAUACCAGCACUAAAGCACCGGAUCCCAUCAGAACUCCGAAGUUAAGCGUGCUUGGGCGAGAGUAGUACUAGGAUGGGUGACCUCCUAGGAAGUCCUCGUGUUGCACCCCU
rnacentral:rRNA from 1 species